rnacentral:tRNA from 1 species
UGGUCUAGUGGUUAGAACGCUGGCCUUGUAAUCCUGGAGUCCCGGGUUCAAUUCCCGG